UAUAAAUAAGGCUGCUAUGAA
rnacentral:piRNA from 1 species